rnacentral:rRNA from 1 species
GAUGAACGCUAGCUACAGGCUUAACACAUGCAAGUCGAGGGGCAGCAUGGUCUUAGCUUGCUAAGGCCGAUGGCGACCGGCGCACGGGUGAGUAACACGUAUCCAACCUGCCGUCUACUCUUGGACAGCCUUCUGAAAGGAAGAUUAAUACAAGAUGGCAUCAUGAGUUCACAUGUUCACAUGAUUAAAGGUAUUCCGGUAGACGAUGGGGAUGCGUUCCAUUAGAUAGUAGGCGGGGUAACGGCCCACCUAGUCUUCGAUGGAUAGGGGUUCUGAGAGGAAGGUCCCCCACAUUGGAACUGAGACACGGUCCAAACUCCUACGGGAGGCAGCAGUGAGGAAUAGUGAUCAAUGGGCGAGAGCCUGAACCAGCCAAGUAGCGUGAAGGAUGACUGCCCUAUGGGUUGUAAACUUCUUUUAUAAAGGAAUAAAGUCGGGUAUGUAUACCCGUUUGCAUGUACUUUAUGAAUAAGGAUCGGCUAACUCCGUG